AUUGAACGCUGGCGGCAGGCCUAACACAUGCAAGUCGAGCGGAUGAAGGGAGCUUGCUCCUGGAUUCAGCGGCGGACGGGUGAGUAAUGCCUGGGAAUCUGCCUGGUAGUGGGGGAUAACGUCCGGAAACGGGCGCUAAUACCGCAUACGUCCUGAGGGAGAAAGUGGGGGAUCUUCGGACCUCACGCUAUCAGAUGAGCCUAGGUCGGAUUAGCUAGUUGGUGGGGUAAAGGCCUACCAAGGCGACGAUCCGUAACUGGUCUGAGAGGAUGAUCAGUCACACUGGAACUGAGACACGGUCCAGACUCCUACGGGAGGCAGCAGUGGGGAAUAUUGGACAAUGGGCGAAAGCCUGAUCCAGCCAUGCCGCGUGUGUGAAGAAGGUCUUCGGAUUGUAAAGUACUUUAAGUUGGGAGGAAGGGCAGUAAGUUAAUACCUUGCUGUUUUGACGUUACCAACAGAAUAAGCACCGGCUAACUUCGUG
rnacentral:rRNA from 1 species